UAAAGUAUCCUUUUCAAAUGUCAAAAUAAAAAUAGAAGAAAAAUGGUCCAUUUUUCCCUUGAACCAGAACGAACUAUGAAGAAGAGAGGAGGACAAAAUAGCUCUAAGAUCUCUUCUCUCUCUCUCUCUCUCUCUCUCUAUCUCUCUCUCUCUCAAUCAUUGUGAAAUCCUUUGGUGAGUAUAGAGAAAGAGGAAUUAAGGCAAAUAACCUUGAAGAAUUGCACAAGAUAAUUCAUGCUGUCGUCUGUGCUGAUCUCAUAGUGAAGAAAUCUGAUAAGGAACCACCUCAGGACACUAUAAACGUUUAUGGUUCAACUUAAAGAAGCUCACAUAUGAAGAAAGGAAGAACCAGUUAAUUGAAGGAUUGACUAAAUUUGGGCAGUGGCAUAAAUUUUCAAAGAUAAACUUUUCUUUGGGAAAAUGGAUACAACCUUUUUUCUAUGGGGACAUGUUUACAGCCUUUCUUUAUCAUAGUGUUGGGAAUGAGGAGUGUACUUGAUUAGGCUGAUAAUGCACAUGCUAUAUAGAGAAACCUGGCUUUCCUUGUGUCCAUGCAAUUGCAGCAUGUAAGCAUCGACAUAUUUCUCCAUAUAUCCUUUGCUUGGCGCAUUACUUAGUUGACUCACUCCACGACGCAUAUUCGGAAACCAUAUAUCCACUAGGAGAUAAAUGUCAGUGGCAUGCUCUAGAUGAUGUCAUAAACCAGCUUGUACUUCCACCUAAGAUUGGCAAACAGUUAGGAAGACCAAGAAAGAAGAGGAUUCAAUCUCAAGGAGAGGAGCGUCAUCAAUAUAGAUGCGGGAGGUGCAAACAGAUUGGUCACAGCAACCGAUCAUGCUCAGCCGCCAUACCUUUUGAUAGCACUGCCAACCAACAAUACCAUUCAACUGAAGGACCAUAAAUCGCUCUACGUUAUAUUAAGACAAUGGGGGCAUGUUAUGUGGUAUGCGUGUGUUAUGCAAUGUCGUAAGGAAUGCAAUUAGUUGCGUUUUGGCAUAAUAGACAUUGGUUUUAUGUGUUGUUUUGUUGGAAAAGUCAUCUGUCGUAUUGUGUUGAUAAAAUAUCAAUGAUUCUAAAUAGAAAAAACCCCAAAAGUUCA